rnacentral:lncRNA from 1 species
CUCUAAACUGCUUCCUAUAUAGCUUUUUAUUUGUUUAUUUAAGCUUUAUUUAUUUAAGUUUUUAUUGAAGUAUCACUUCAAACAUCACAGAGAAAACAGAAGCCAGCAUCCCUGGCCUAAAGAGAACAGCCAUGACUGCUUUUCAAAGAUAUGCUGCUUUCCCCAAAGAGAGGGCAAAUGCAGACCUAUCCAAUGAAAGCACCCUCAGCAAUGCCCUUCUUCACAAGGAUGAUCACUCGGACCAGCCCAAACAGUAUGGCGAGCAUGGUACAACCUCAUCAUUACCCUGGAAUCAUUACAGCCCUGAUGAUGAGACGAUCAUGGGCACCAUGUUGACAAGAGGAUUUGAUCUGCAGUCGAUCCUGACUUGAGCACUCACUAGCUGUGUAUUCCAAGACCAGUCACUUAAUCUUUCUGGGCCUCAGAUUCCUCAUGUGUAAGAUGAGCGGGAUGAUGCUUACACCACAUUAGGAAAAUCAAGUGAUAAAGUCUGUUGUUGU